rnacentral:lncRNA from 1 species
GGGGGCGGCGCUCGGGUCCUGGCGCGGCGGAGCGGGGUGCGCUGGAGGCCGGGCUGGGCGCUUUAUGGUCCGGCCGGCGGGGCGGGGAAGGGCCGAGGCCGGGGCGGCCCCCUUGGCCAGGAUCCCCUUUGGCCGGGAAGUGUGGGGGUGGCCGGAGCGGCGGAGGGAAAGGCGUGAGCCUGGGGACUGGGGACGCGAGGGCCCCUCCGCCCGACUCGGGUCUGGGGAGGUGGGCGUGGUCGCCGACCCCGGACGGACCGGGAAGUUAGGAGGAUGGGGAGGGCGGGGAUGGGGCUGGGAGGAAAGUGAGGACACGCAAGACAGAGAAGAGAAGAGAGGGGAAAGGACGCAGAGAACGACACUGACCCGCUAGCUUUGGGCACCGUCCGUCCCCCACCUCUCCUUUUCUGAACGGAACAUUGUUUGGACAAGCUUUUAACGCCCGUCUUGGGCUCUGCGGGAACUUCUGCCUCCCAAGGUGGUCCGGUGAACAAUUCGUUUCUUUUAUUUCUUCAAGCUUGUCUUGAAUACUUCAGAUGAUGAAUAUUUUCCCCAUCAGGCUUUGGGAUGUGAACAGUGAAUGUUUCAAAGUUUUGAGUUUUUAAUGGAAAUAAAACACAUCUCAAGGACUCCAUCCAGACAGAACCGUUUAUAGGAUGGUAGAGUUUUAUGGAGAAUUUAUUUUCCAAACACUUGUCUGCCCACUUCUGUUUCACCCUCCCGAAAGAUCCCAAGUGACAGUUUAAAGCUAUGGGAGUAGGACCUAAAAGAGAGGGAAGCAACAUGAGGAAUUAGUCUUCCUUCUAGCAAAGCCCCCUAAAAAUAAUGUGGAUUAACUAGAGGAAAAAAUAUUUCAGAACAAUGGUAAACUUUCCCCUCAUAAACAAUCUUGACUAAUGGAGAAAAUCCAGCAAUGUAUUUAUAUCCCUUUAAGUCUCAAAGAAUUCCAUUUCAAAGUUUAAGAAUAAGCCACAAACUGCCACAAGCUGGAAGAUUAACUCAUCUUCUUAUUCGCAAACUGUGCUAGAAUAACCCGUUAUGAUUCCACUUACAGCCAAUGACCUGGAAGUUUGUGAGCCAUAUUCAGAGUUCCUUUGUAUUAUAUAUAUUCGAGGUCUGCCAUAUUCUGGUUCGGGCUUCAUUUAAUGCCAUGUUACACUAAAGUUUCUGUAUGGAGUGUGUCACCAUAUGUCUACAUAUGAGAGAGCACUGAAGAGACAAAGGCACAUGUUUCCAGCAGUGUGACUAUACACUGUUACUGCUAAGUCACUUCAGUCAUGUCCGACUCUGUGCGGCCACAUAGACAGCUGCCCACCAGGCUUCCUGUCCCUGAGAUUCUCCAGGCAAGAAUACUGGAGUGGGUUGCCAUUUC